GAGCUCUGUAAUUCAGCCAGUUGAGACAACGUAACCUUCCCACCUUGCCAAUCAAAAUGCCAUGCCUGUACGCUUUCAUCUCGGUUGAAUGUCGAGCAUAGGCCUAGGUGUGACACCAGUGUGGGCAUUUAAAUCAUGGCUGAACACGAAGCAUGCCAAGAUUCAACAGGGCUGAUCCUCCAUCAUCUAUGGUGACAACUUGAAAGUGACUGAAGCAUCAAAACCACUGAGUGAGAUGUUGCCACAUACGGAUGCAAAGACGAAGCAGCGGAGUGGAAUAAGUCCUGUUUCAAUUAUAAUGUGAUAUUUUGUCCAAGUUCCUGUCGUUGCUUAAAGCAGGGUCAUGGAAACUUAUGUGACAAGCCACCGAAGAUGCAAGAGGGUGAUGUGUGUGCCAAGAAAGGAUUGAUGCAAUGAAGCAAUAAUUAGGAAA